UACAGAGGGUGCAAGCGUUAAUCGGAAUUACUGGGCGUAAAGCGCACGUAGGUGGCGACGUAAGUCGGGUGUGAAAGCCCCGGGCUCAACCUGGGAAUUGCAUUCGAGACUGCAUUGCUGGAGUACGGAAGAUGAGGGCAGAAUUCCCGGUGUAGCGGUGAAAUGCGUAGAUAUCGGGAGGAACAUCAGUGGCGAAGGCGGCCCUCUGGUCCAGUACUGACACUCAAGUGCGAAAGCGUGGGGAGCAAACAGG
rnacentral:rRNA from 1 species